UACGGAGGAUGCAAGCGUUAUCCGGAUUUAUUGGGUUUAAAGGGUGCGCAGGCGGACUAAUAAGUCAGUGGUGAAAUUUACAUGCUCAACAUGUAGCGUGCCAUUGAUACUGUUGGACUAGUAUACAAAUGACGUAGCUGGAAUGUGUUAUGUAGCGGUGAAAUGCAUAGAUAUAACACAGAACACCGAUCGUGAAGACAGGUUACGAAUUUGUUAUAGACGCUCAUGCACGAAAGCGUGGGGAUCAAACAGGAUUAGAUACCCUGGUAGUCCACGCUGUAAACGAUGAUAACUUGUUGUCGGGCAUUUCAUGCUCGGUGGCUAAGCGAAAGCGAUAAGUUAUCCACCUGGGGAGUACGAUCGCAAGGUUGAAACUCAAAGGAAUUGACGGGGACCCGCACAAGCGGAGGAGCAUGUGGUUUAAUUCGAUGAUACGCGAGGAACCUUACCCGGGCUCGAACGUAUAUUGAAUAAUAUGGAAACAUGUUAGUCGCAAGACAAUAUACGAGGUGCUGCAUGGUU
rnacentral:rRNA from 1 species